GGGCAAUCUGCCCUUCACUCUGGGACAAGCCCUGGAAACGGGGUCUAAUACCGGAUAACACCGGCUUCCGCAUGGGAGCUGGUUGAAAGCUCCGGCGGUGAAGGAUGAGCCCGCGGCCUAUCAGCUUGUUGGUGGGGUAAUGGCCUACCAAGGCGACGACGGGUAGCCGGCCUGAGAGGGCGACCGGCCACACUGGGACUGAGACACGGCCCAGACUCCUACGGGAGGCAGCAGUGGGGAAUAUUGCACAAUGGGCGAAAGCCUGAUGCAGCGACGCCGCGUGAGGGAUGACGGCCUUCGGGUUGUAAACCUCUUUCAGCAGGGAAGAAGCGAAAGUGACGGUACCUGCAGAAGAAGCGCCGGCUAACUACGUGCCAGCAGCCGCGGUAAUACGUAGGGCGCAAGCGUUGUCCGGAAUUAUUGGGCGUAAAGAGCUCGUAGGCGGCUUGUCACGUCGGGUGUGAAAGCCCGGGGCUUAACCCCGGGUCUGCAUCCGAUACGGGCAGGCUAGAGUGUGGUAGGGGAGAUCGGAAUUCCUGGUGUAGCGGUGA
rnacentral:rRNA from 1 species